rnacentral:lncRNA from 1 species
CUCUAAUCCACCCCUAGUGGAAUAUUCAUCAAAGUCAGUUGACAACCUCAAGUUCUUUCAAAUAGAGGGUUGAAAUUAAUUGAAGAAGUACAAGCUUCAGAUUUAGGAGGAAAUAGGUCUACACCAAAAUAUUUCAGAUCUAAAAUCAAAAUCGAUGAUCUAUUAAUUCUAGUCUCAAGAUGUUAAUCAUUUCCUUAGCAUGACAUAAAAUUAGAGAACCUAAGAUAGUGCAGCGACAUCCAAAAAUUCAAAAUCAAAUCAAGUCUUUUGUUAUUAAAACUUGCCGAAUUAAAGGGAUAAUACUUCUGACCAACUUAGAAAAAUAGUUCAGACCACUACGCUUUCGUUCGCACUCUGAUUCAAAC